rnacentral:lncRNA from 1 species
CUUGCUCAUAAACUGCUGCAGUAGCCUCUUCUGUGCUUCUACCCUCAUCUCCACCCAAUCCAUUUCCCACAUACAUAGCGCCUUAAUACCCUUAUUAUCCUUAAAAAAAAAAAUCAGAUCAUUGCCACUUUAAGCUCCAUAGGUUUAAACCUGCUACCCUAGCCUAUAAGGCCCUGAAGGGUCUGCCUCCUUCUCACUUGACUGACUUCAUCUUUACCGCUGCAAGCCUGGCUCAUUAUCAUCUACCGAUCCUGGUAAUGGUUUGCCAUAAAAACCACUUUUUGGGGGGAGGAUUGAGGGAAUAACUUAUUCAGUAAAAUGAUUGGUUAUUUAGUUAACUUGGCUAAUUUAUAUCUUGUCUAUAUUUAAUAAUAAUAGUUCUUUUCCAAUUAUUUAUUAGGUAAGGUUUAUAACCUAUGUCAUUAACUAUUAGUUUAAUACUGUAUUAACAAAAAUAGUUUGUUUUCAGUAUUGAAAUUAUAAUUCAAAGGUAUUUUGCAUCUGGGGUUGUAAUUUUAUUAGCUAUCUAUAUUUUCCAAUGAAGAAGCAAAGAGAUGGAUUCCUUUAUU